GAAUGCUAAAAGAAUGGAAAUUUAAAAAAAAACUUUUUUAAAAAUAAAAAUUGAAUUUUUUUUAAUUUGUGCAAAAACAAUUAUAUUUAUUAAAGACAAGAAGACCCUAAGAAUUUAAGAUUUUACAAUUAAAAAGUUUUUUUUUUUAAAAUCUUGAUUGGGGCAAUCAAAAAAUAUUAAUAACUUUUUAAAAUUUAAAUUGAUCUAUUAUUAAUAAACUAAUGAAUUAAAUACUCUAGGGAUAACAGCGUAAUAAUUUUUGAUAGAUCUUAUUGACAAAAUAGUUUGCGACCUCGAUGUUGGAUUAGGAUUCUUUUUUAAUGAAGAAGUUAAAAAAAGAAGUUUGUUCAACUUUUAAAUUCCUACUUGAUCUGAGUUCAAACCG
rnacentral:rRNA from 1 species